AAAGCUUUAAGUUAAAGAUAAACUAUUAACCUUCAAAGUUAAAAAUAUAAACUAUUAUAAGCUUUA
rnacentral:tRNA from 1 species